CUAUCCAAGGAGCGCUGCGAGGCAUUCAAUUGCCCUAGGCUUGUAGGUGGUUUUAAACUGCGCUCAUCAAUU
rnacentral:ncRNA from 2 species